rnacentral:tRNA from 1 species
GGGUGAUUAGCUCAGCUGGGAGAGCAUCUGCCUUACAAGCAGAGGGUCGGCGGUUCGAUCCCGUCAUCACCUU